rnacentral:rRNA from 1 species
AAGGAAUAUUGCGCAAUGGGCGAAAGCCUGACGCAGCGACGCCGCGUGGAGGAUGACGGCCUUCGGGUUGUAAACUCCUUUUGCGGGGGACGACCUCGACUGUACCCCGCGAAUCAGGCUCGGCUAACUCUGUGCCAGCAGCCGCGGUAAGACAGAGGAGCCAAGCGUUGUCCGGAUUGACUGGGCGUAAAGCGCACGCAGGCGGCUGUGCACGUGGGGUGUGAAACCUGGCGGCUUAACUGCCAGACGCCACCUCAUACGGCACGGCUCGAGCCCGUGAGAGGUCCACGGAAUUGCCGGUGUAGUGGUGAAAUGCGUAGAGAUCGGCAGGAACACCCAGGGGGAAACCAGUGGACUGGCACGGUGCUGACGCUCAGGUGCGAAAGCGUGGGGAGCGAAC